CCUACGGGAGGCAGCAGUGGGGAAUAUUGCACAAUGGGGGAAACCCUGAUGCAGCGACGCCGCGUGAGUGAAGAAGUAUUUCGGUAUGUAAAGCUCUAUCAGCAGGGAAGAAAAUGACGGUACCUGACUAAGAAGCCCCGGCUAACUACGUGCCAGCAGCCGCGGUAAUACGUAGGGGGCAAGCGUUAUCCGGAUUUACUGGGUGUAAAGGGAGCGUAGACGGCCAGACAAGUCAGAAGUGAAAGCCCAGGGCUCAACCCUGGGACUGCUUUUGAAACUGCCGGGCUGGAGUGCAGGAGAGGUAAGCGGAAUUCCUAGUGUAGCGGUGAAAUGCGUAGAUAUUAGGAGGAACAUCAGUGGCGAAGGCGACUAUCUGGCACAUAACUGACGCUGAGGAGCGAAAGCGUGGGUAGCAAACAGGAUUAGAUACCCGGGUAGUC
rnacentral:rRNA from 1 species